AAAACAAAAGAGAAAGAAAAAGAAAAAAAAAAAGGAAAAGGGAGAGAAAGAUGGUGAAGAGUUGGAAGGUUUGUGUGGGGCUUUCUCUUUGUUCUGGUGCUGUCUUGUUGUUGGGUUUUGUUUU
rnacentral:ribozyme from 14 species